CGAUGCCGUUGGUGGGGUUGUUGCUGUUUUGCUUACUGUUUGCCCAGCUCAAUGAGCGUCGGGCACUUGUGCAACAUUUUUGUGUACGACUGAAAGGCCUCAGUAACUGCCAUUUUCUUUUUAAAUUCGCAGCUUGUAACAUUUCUUUUUGCGUGUCUCAAAAGAAAAUGAAUUUCCUUUGGCAUUUCCUUGUCUAGCUGUGCAUUGCAGAAGAUUUCAAACGAGCUUCUCUCACCCACAAGUUCUUUACCGCUUGCCACAAGCAUAGAGUGUGUCUCGUUCCCACAUUCUCUGGCGUGUUUGCUGCAUGUGCAGCAAUUUCCGGCGGAUGCGCGAAAAACUUAUGCAGGUAUUUAAGUGGCCGAAGCUGAAGCGUCGCGACGAGUCGUCUAUGUCUAUAUCUAUCUCUUCGCCAUUUUCUUGGAGACUUUGACUUGCGCCAUUUCUCAAUGUGCACACUUCCGUUUCCGGCCGCGGGUCGAGGCGAGCGACUCUUACCUUUACAUAGUCAUCUUUGGCACUCCUAGACUGAACCUACCACUACAACUGACUUAUGCAAAAGGGAAUUUCACUAGAGAAUUCAUUUCGAAUAAUUCAGCUGAUACUCUUCAGUCGUGAUACCCAGUAAAAUAAAUUCUAAACGAAAUAAUCUUAAUCUUUGGAAUUAUUACCCCAGGGAAUAUCAGCUGCCUAGAAAACAACUUAAAAUUGAGGAAGUCGACAAGUUAUCUUCACAUCAGCGCAUUUUGAUAGAGAUAUGCAAUGCAUAUUAUGCAUAUAUUUAUCUACUCGUACGUAUUUAUGUAUAAAAAUGGCUUUCGGCAGAAGCUCCUGAGAUGUGCAUAGAAAAUUAUACAAGCAUUCCACUUGACUGAUUUAUGAUGACAAGAGGCAGUUGCAAGAAGUUUGUUACAAAUAGUGAAGGCCACACACCAAUCCAAUUUUAAUUAAACCAAAAACAUUUCAAGCUAAAAUGGAAAACAAAACAAGACAUACUUUGUAUCAUACGAUAACAGGGAUUUUUUAGUCAUGUUCUCUAUAAAUAAAUGCAAUAGAACUAUA